UGCAGCCGCCCGGUGCACGCGGCCAGGUAAGACGUCUGUUAUUAUUAUUAUAAUUAUUAUUGUUAUUAUUAUUAUUAUUGUGUAAUGUAUAGGUUUUUUUUAACACGAGCUUGUCUCCAUUAUUUUGCAGAUUGGUUGACAAGCAAGGCAGGAAAAAAAAGUUUGUUAUAGGAUGGAUCUCCGCUAAUUGCACGGUUCACGGGGUAUUUCGUGUGCGUGCGUAGCAAUGCAGCAGCAAGCAGAUGUUUGACGCAUGCAUGCCCCCCCCCCCCCCCCCCCCGCCCUCCUCCAAACCAAACAUUCUGUUGGCUUCACAGAAGUUCGUUUGGCGUAGUUAUUAAUAAUAAUAAUAAUAAUAAAAUAAUCCAACGUUAAAAUAGGAAGAAAAAAAGAAAUGUACGCAAUUGAAAUGGACUGCAGGCUGUGUAAGCAUGCACCUGUCUGUUUGUUUACUGUUUGUGUGCUGCAGACAGGAAUGAAGAAACCUGGGUGCAUUGCCUCAACUCGCUCCCCAAGUGCAGUAUGUGCUCUGCAAUGACCCUAAUGAGGACAAUUGCUGUAAAAAAUGGAUGGAUGGAUGGAUGUACAUUUAUAUGUUGGUCCUAGGUGAGGGACCAGACAAAGCACAGCUCAAAAAAACCCUAUAACGAACAAAAUAAAUGGACAUGGGUUUCGUUUCUGAUGAUGUGGUCCUGUUGGCUUCAUCAAGCCAUGAUCUCCAACUCUCACUGGAGCAGUUCGCAGCUGAGUGUGAAGCGGCUGGGAUGAGAAUCAGCACCUCCAAAUCUGAGACCAUGGUCCUCAGUCGGAAAAGGGUCCAAGUCAGGGAUGAGAUCCUGCCCCAAGUGGAAGAGUUCAAAUAUCUUGGGGUCUUGUUCAUGAGUGAGGGAAGAAUGGAACGGGAGAUCGACAGCCGGAUCGGUGCAGCGUCUGCCGUGAUGUGGACUUUGUAUCGGUCCGUUCUGGUGAAGAAGGAGCUCUGCCGAAAGGCGAAGCUCUCUAUUUACCAGCCAAUCUACGUUCCUACCGUCACGAGCUGUGGGUCGUGACCGAAAGAACAAGAUCCCGGAUACAAGCGGAUGAAAUGAGUUUCCUCCGCAGGGUGUCCGGGCUCUCCCUUAGAGAUAGGGUGAGAAGCUCGGUCAUCCGGGAGGGGCUCAGAGUAGAGCCGCUGCUCCGCCGCAUUGAGAGGAGCCGGAUGAGGUGGCUCGGGCAUCUCUUUAGGAUGCCUCCUGUACGCCUUCCUGGUGAGGUGUUCCGGGCAUGUCACAUGGGGAGGAGACCCCGGUUACGACCCAGGACACGCUGGAGAGACUACGUCUCUCGGCUUGCCUGGGAACGCCUGGGGAUCCCCUCGGAAGAGCCGGAGGAAGUGCCUGGGGAGAGGGAAGUCUGGGCUUCCCUGCUAAAGCUAGUGCGCCUACGAUCCAACCUCAGAUAAGCGGAAGAAAAUGGAUGGAUAGAAAUUCGUAGUGGAACUGUGUAAGGCUUCAGGCUCAAGUCCCUAUUGCAUUUUCCAGCU